GACGAACGCUGGCGGCGUGCCUAAUACAUGCAAGUAGAACGCUGAAGAGAGGAGCUUGCUCUUCUUGGAUGAGUUGCGAACGGGUGAGUAACGCGUAGGUAACCCGCCUUGUAGCGGGGGAUAACUAUUGGAAACGAUAGCUAAUACCGCAUAACAAUGGAUGACACAUGUCAUUUAUUUGAAAGGGGCAAUUGCUCCACUACAAGAUGGACCUGCGUUGUAUUAGCUAGUAGGUGAGGUAAUGGCUCACCUAGGCGACGAUACAUAGCCGACCUGAGAGGGGGAUCGGCCACACUGGGACUGAGACACGGCCCAGACUCCUACGGGAGGCAGCAGUAGGGAAUCUUCGGCAAUGGGGGCAACCCUGACCGAGCAACGCCGCGUGAGUGAAGAAGGUUUUCGGAUCGUAAAGCUCUGUUGUAAGUCAAGAACGGGUGUGAGAGUGGAAAGUUCACACUGUGACGGUAGCUUACCAGAAAGGGACGGCUAACUACGUG
rnacentral:rRNA from 1 species